UGAAGAGGGAAACAACCCAGACCGCCAGCUAAGGUCCCAAAGUCAUGGUUAAGUGGGAAACGAUGUGGGAAGGCCCAGACAGCCAGGAUGUUGGCUUAGAAGCAGCCAUCAUUUAAAGAAAGCGUAAUAGCUCACUGGUCGAGUCGGCCUGCGCGGAAGAUGUAACGGGGCUAAACCAUGCACCGAAGCUGCGGCAGCGACGCUGAUGCGUUGUUGGGUAGGGGAGCGUUCUGUAAGCCUGUGAAGGUGUGCUGUGAGGCAUGCUGGAGGUAUCAGAAGUGCGAAUGCUGACAUAAGUAACGAUAAAGCGGGUGAAAAGCCCGCUCGCCGGAAGACCAAGGGUUCCUGUCCAACGUUAAUCGGGGCAGGGUGAGUCGACCCCUAAGGCGAGGCCGAAAGGCGUAGUCGAUGGGAAACAGGUUAAUAUUCCUGUACUUGGUGUUACUGCGAAGGGGGGACGGAGAAGGCUAUGUUGGCCGGGCGACGGUUGUCCCGGUUUAAGCGUGUAGGCUGGUUUUCCAGGCAAAUCCGGAAAAUCAAGGCUGAGGCGUGAUGACGAGGCACUACGGUGCUGAAGCAACAAAUGCCCUGCUUCCAGGAAAAGCCUCUAAGCAUCAGGUAACAUCAAAUCGUACCCCAAACCGACACAGGUGGUCAGGUAGAGAAUACCAAGGCGCUUGAGAGAACUCGGGUGAAGGAACUAGGCAAAAUGGUGCCGUAACUUCGGGAGAAGGCACGCUGAUAUGUAGGUGAAGUCCCUCGCGGAUGGAGCUGAAAUCAGUCGAAGAUACCAGCUGGCUGCAACUGUUUAUUAAAAACACAGCACUGUGCAAACACGAAAGUGGACGUAUACGGUGUGACGCCUGCCCGGUGCCGGAAGGUUAAUUGAUGGGGUCAGCGCAAGCGAAGCUCUUGAUCGAAGCCCCGGUAAACGGCGGCCGUAACUAUAACGGUCCUAAGGUAGCGAAAUUCCUUGUCGGGUAAGUUCCGACCUGCACGAAUGGCGUAAUGAUGGCCAGGCUGUCUCCACCCGAGACUCAGUGAAAUUGAACUCGCUGUGAAGAUGCAGUGUACCCGCGGCAAGACGGAAAGACCCCGUGAACCUUUACUAUAGCUUGACACUGAACAUUGAGCCUUGAUGUGUAGGAUAGGUGGGAGGCUUUGAAGUGUGG
rnacentral:rRNA from 1 species